rnacentral:rRNA from 1 species
CUACGGGAGGCAGCAGUGGGGAAUUUUCCGCAAUGGGCGAAAGCCUGACGGAGCAAUACCGCGUGAGGGAAGACGGCCUAUGGGUUGUAAACCUCUUUUUUCAGGGAGGAAUAAAAUGACGUGUACCUGAAGAAUAAGCAUCGGCUAACUCCGUGCCAGCAGCCGCGGUAAGACGGAGGAUGCAAGUGUUAUCCGGAAUCACUGGGCGUAAAGCGUCUGUAGGUGGUUUAAUAAGUCAACUGUUAAAUCUUGAGGCUCAACUUCGAAAUCGCAGUCGAAACUAUUAGACUAGAGUAUAGUAGAGGUAAAGGGAAUUUCCAGUGGAGCGGUGAAAUGCGUAGAGAUUGGAAAGAACACCGAUGGCGAAAGCACUUUACUGGGCUAUUACUAACACUCAGAGACGAAAGCUAGGGUAGCAAAUGGGAUUAGAUACCCCAGUAGUCCUAGCCGUAAACAAUGGAUACUAGAUGUUGAACAGAUCGACCUGUGCAGUAUCAAAGCUAACGCGUUAAGUAUCCCGCCUGGGAAGUAUGCUCGCAAGAGUGAAACUCAAAU